rnacentral:rRNA from 1 species
UUCUCCCUGACUCCUUGAGAGUCCUGAAGGAACGUUGAAGACGACGACGUUGAUAGGCCGGGUGUGUAAGCGCAGCGAUGCGUUGAGCUAACCGGUACUAAUGAACCGUGAGGCUUAACCUUACAACGCCGAAGGUGUUU